AGGCCAGAGUCAGGCCUCUAGGGCAGAGGGCGAACGGCCCCUCCAGGAGGGAGCCAGGAGAUUACGCAGCUCCAUGUAGCUCCACGCUUAGGUUGGGAGGAUCCACUAUGAAGAAGGUCAAGAAGAAAAGGUCAGAGGCCAAACGCCACCGAGACUCCACCCCCCAGCAUGCUAGCUCCAAUUCCACCUCUCAGCAGCCUAGUCCUGAAUCCACACCACAGGAGCCUAGUCCUGAAUCCACACCACAGCAGCCUAGCCCUGAAUCCACACCACAGCAGUCCAGCCUUGAAACCAACUCCCAGCAGCCAGCAUCCCAAGCCCUUCCAGCACCCGAAAUCCGCCGCUCCUCUCGCUGCCUGUUAUCUCCAGAUGCUAACAUGAAGGCAGCCCCUCAAUCCAGGAAAGCAGGGCCUCUGACUCGCGCCGGCCCACAUUCCUGCUCCUGUGCCACUUGCCCCUGCAGCUCUGCUUGCUGGCGUCGUCUGGGGCUGUGCCAUAGCCGCAUCUUCGAUGUCCUUCUGCCUCGGGACUGGCAGAUGGCGCCAGGGAGAGGACUCCCCAACCUGCUCACCUUCUACAGAAAACCUUCAAGAAAACCCUCCAGUCAUCGUAACACGUGUCCUCCAAGCCCUCGGAACUGUGGCUGUGGCUCUGGGGGCUCUAGGAGCUGCCUACUACAUCACUGAAUCCUUGUGAACAAGCCCCUAGGCCCACGGUCCGGCAGACCUCCACUAGCCCCAAGAGUUGAUAGGUGAUGGGACUGGGAGAAGAUGUUCAGAAUAUCUCAAAAACCAAACCCAGAAGAUCCAGUUUCCAUCAAAGGACCUGUCUUGUCACUAAAAUUUAAAAAAAGAAAAAAAAAA